AUUUAUAUAGUUUAAUAAAACAUUACAUUUUCAUUGUAAAAUUAAAUUUUUUAUAAUUUUAUAAAUA
rnacentral:tRNA from 1 species